GCUAUAGUUUUUACCGUGUCCAGUAGAGAAAGAGUAAAUUUAAAAUAAGAGGUAAGUUUAUCUAUCCAACUUUCUUUCAAUCAAAACAAAAAACAAAACAUCUUCUAUAUUUGAAGUAAACUCACCACCUUCACACAUCAAAGUGAUAAAAUUUAUAAAUACAAUUUCCAAUUGCAUACAGGUAAAUAAAUUAUUUGUAGUUAGAAUACUUUUUACUACAUUCAACAAGUUAUGUCCAACUACAAUUAUUGCAUUUUUAUAUGCACGCAUCUCUUACUACUGCAUUUACAAGUAUAUCCUCAGAUAGCCCACCAAUUUAUCCUCUGUUGUAAAUUAAAGUUUUCUUAUGUCUUUCUUGUCGGAUCGUUGGCGCUAACCAUUAAUCCCAAAAGCUCGAGUUUUUAGAAAUAUGCAACAAAUUCACUUAAAGCGUACAAAAACAGCGCCCACGAAUCUCGAUUGUGACUCGGCCCACUUAGCUUUACGCUACUUCGAACAUGACUCGGCCCAACCCAGCCUUACGCUAUUUAGAACAUGACUCGGCCCACAUGGCCUCUCACCACAGGGCAGGAUGCUAGCCUAUUUAAGUCAAUAAUCCUCCCUCCAGCACCUGCACAUAUUUGCAGCAUGCGGGAAUCGAACCCAUCGAACCCGUGAUCUCUGGCUCUGAUACCACUUGUAGGAUCGUUGGCGCUAACCAUUAAUCCCAAAAGCUCGAGCUGUUAGAAAUACGCAGCCAAUUCACUUAAAGCGUACAGAAACAGCGCCCACGAAUCUCGAUUGUGACUCUCACCUGGCCUCACGCCACUUCGAACAUAAUUCGGUCCAACCCAACCUCAUGCCAUUUUGAAUAUGACUCAGCUCACAUAGCCUCCCGCCACAGGGCAGGAUGCUGACUCAUUUAAGCCAACAUUUCUAAGUCUUACUAAAAUA
rnacentral:lncRNA from 1 species